GGGGCGCGCUCCCGGCGGCGGGAUGGCUGGACCCGGUUCCGAAACCUGGCGGCUGGUUUGCAGGAUUCCGACUGGAUCCCUUGUCUCCCCCUGCGCUGGGUCGGCGUCGGAGGGGGCUCUGCGGCGGGGUGGCGCGCACCAGGCGCUCGGCCUCAACUAGGCCUCCUCGCCCCCAACGUGGCCUAAAUUCGCCUCCGGAACCCGGAAGGCCCUUAGCAAGCACAGACUUAAUGGGCGCUGUUUACAAAAAUUAACUGCUGUUUUCGAAGCGCCUGCGACGAGUGAGGGGCCGUACGCAGAAUACCCUUGAACAGGACGGCGUUACUGUUCCCACUGGACAGAAGGGAACACCGAGUUUCCCAGAGCUCGGGUGCCCGGGCCCCGCUCGGGGCGGCUGUCUUCCUCCUUGGGGCUGGAUGCGGGACACUCGAGUCCCUGAGACCCCGGUGGGGAGGGUCCGUGGCGGCUCCGGCGCGUGCGCCCAGGCUCCGCGCCAGCCGCCAACGUGUCUCCGCCUCUAAGGGCGCCGGAAGGUCAGGCUAGGGGUAAGAGGGUGGCUGGCGGGGUCCUAAACCCUAGCACCUGCCCGCCCCUGGCCCUCUCGCAGUGGGCCAUUCAGACCUACGCGCCCUUGUUUCUCGACCUCCGUGUGCGCCCCCACCCCCAUGCCAGGCAGUCUUCUCUCCCUUUCUGCCGCAGUGCCACUCGAAGCCCCUCUCUGGGGUGGAGGGGUGUUGUCCUCACCCUCUGAACAGGACGCGGGCCGGCCUGGGCUCUGGGUGUGGUCUCAGCACAGCCUGGAAACUGCUGCCACCUGGUCUUGUGGUGGGUGUUGUGGGAGAAAGCGUGCGUAAAAUGCUGCUUACGUGAUUCCGUGCUACUGGUGUGUCCUCUCCCUGUCCCUGACCCUUGCCCCACUCAGAGGCCAUUCUGUAGCCAUAGAGGUCCCCUGCCCGGCUUCAAAUUAUAUGAUACCUUCCCUGCCCUCUUAGAGACGCAGGAAGACCCUACUUAUCUCUCUGAGCCACUUCUGUCUCUGUCCCUGUGCUUCAGCCCGUCUGGCCUGAAACACUCUGCCCCUGCCCCUCACACAGCUGCCCUCUUCUUGUUAGCGGCUCAGGUGGCGUCUUAGACCGGCCUUCAUUCUGUCACGUGUCAGCAUUGGAAAGCAUCUUACUCUCCUGUCGGUGUCUCUGCCCGCCUGGCUUGUGCGUCCCAUGAGAGUGGACACGUUCCCUGCCUCCUUCUGGGCACCUGCCUGCCACUCAGCAAAUGUAUGUUGAAUGAAUGAUCUCCGCUUGGGCGUUUCUGGAAGCUUUCUGAAGCUGUGUCAACCGGCCUGGCUGCAGCACACCAUACCUUCUCAGGUCUGAGUUACAGCAGUGGAAAUGCUGACUCCAGGCCUUGUUUUGUGGUUAGAGAUGGAUUUGUAGCAGCAUAGGGUAGUACUAUCCUCUCUGGCUGCUGCAUGUUCAGACUUACUGGCCCCCCGCCUUUCUCGGAACACAGCCAAAAUUCCUUCUUCCAGUUCUCUGGUCCGGUGCUCACACCAGAUGGAGUCCAGUGCAGUAAAUGCGGCUGAUUAGAUGUCUGACUUUGGAGUCAAGUCUCUGUUUGGCUCUACAUGUGCUUGAAUCCUACUCUCAGCUACUUUCGGUGUGACUUUGGAGAGUUGCUCAAACUCUAUGUGCCACAGGCUCUUUCUCUGCAAAAUAGAGAUGUAGGCUUUAUACCCAGCACAGAGCCCACUUCAGGGCUUGAACUCAAGACCCUGAGAUUAUGACCUGAGCUGAAAUCAGGAGUCGGAAGUUUAACUGAAAGAGCCACCCAUGCGCCCCUGAAAUGAGAAUCUUAAGCAACAGGAUGUUUUCUGGUGUGCUCCAUGCCAGGCUCCUGCAGCUGGCACCUGGCUUUCCCAGCACCAGCUCCCAAAGCACCAGAAACUUCCCUAACAUCCAGUGUCUGCAAUGCAUGAUGGUCAGCAACACACAGCCACCAGCAGCUUCUUGGCACCCCGCUUGGGUGGCUUUAUAUUGGAGUGUUCCUGGUGUGAACGGCUUUCUCCUGCACCCAAGACGGUGGAUUUCUGGGAAGUUCCAGCAACUUCUCCUGCAGCAGAACCUCUGUGACUAUUGUGCCAUCCUGGGAAACACCACACAGACAAGGCUGGAGCCAUCUUGGGAGACACCACCACAGACAAGGCUGGAUCCCAUCCCCUCUGUUUUCUGAGAUUCUGCAUCCACAAAUAUCCCAUCUCCUGCUCCAGCAUUUUCUACCUUUUCACUAACUCGUGAGCAUAAACAUAUAAUAUCUCCCGUUAAGAGAAACAUUCCUUGAUAUCUAAGUUUUUCAAUCAUUUUUCCUCAGCCAGCCCUUCUCUCAUGUCUGUUCCUUAUAACUUGAAAAUCUUGUCUGUACCUGCUCUCUGCAUUUCCUUUCCUCUCAGUCUGUUAAAAACUGUGAAAUAUACCAUGUGUUCAAGAGUAUACAUAAUAACGUUAUAUGUUUUAAAGCGUUAAUGGUAAGGUAAUAAAGUAGGCUCUGGCAUUCAUCUCUCGUUUCAGAAAUCAGACAUUCCCAGUACCUUUCACUGUGUGUCCCUAAGCAGUAUUUCACUCGUGGUCUCCCCCAGACAUAAGGCUCAAUCUGCACUUGUGUGCUCAUCAUUCCUUGGUUUUUCUUUAUGCUUCUUUUUUAUACAUGUUUGUAACUCUAAAUAGUACCUUGUCUGGUUUUGCCUGUUUUUGUACUUGGAAAUCCCCCUGCACGUGUUCUUCUGUGACUUGUCUUUGUUUUUGAGAUUCACCAUCUUGAUGCAUUUAGGUUUGAUGCCUUCAUUUUCAUUGCUGUGUAGUAUUUCAGAUAUGAACAAUUUGCAUUCUUUUUUCUUCAUUCUACUGUUCCUGGAAUUUGGUCUGUCCCCAUCUUUUUGCUAUCAUGGUCAACACUGCUAUAAACAUUAUCCCACAUGUAUCCUGGCACAUGUACCCAUGUGUGCAUCAGUUUUGGACCUCUCCCCCAUUCAUGUCUUCAUACAACGGAAUCCUAUUCAAUGAAAAACUAAUCUCAGCGCAGUUCUCUGUGUACUUUUGGUAAGAUCUCCAAGUACAUUCCUAAGUGAAAGCAGCAAGAUGAGGAACAGCGUAUGAUAGGCUACCUUUGUAUUAAAAAAGAGGACGGAACAAAGACUCUAUUGAUAUUCUCCUAAACUAGAAGAUACACAAGAAACUGAAGAAAGUUGCCAUGUGUCUGAGGACGAGAAGUGAACUGCACAAAUGGUGGACAGGAGCAGGGGCAGGACACUUUCCUGUCCCUACUGAGGCAGUGAGUGUUCCUUACAGCAAAUGAAUAAGUAGGGGAGUGUCAGCAAAGUAUGGAAGCCUCACCGUGCCACACGCAAGUGUCCCAGCUCAGCAAAGUACCAAACACAACUGAACAGAGCCGGCCACGGAAGAACAGGGCUGUGUGUGACGCUGUUCACCCCUCCUCCAUCCUCCUCACUCUUUUUGGACACAGUCCCUGUUUAAAAAGUUUUUAAAUGUUUAUUUAGUUUUGAGAGAGAGAGACAGGCACAGAGCAUGAGCAGAGGAGGGGCAGGGAGAAAGGAGACAGAAUCUGAAGCAGGCUCCAGGCUCUGAGCUGUCAGCACAGAGCCUGACGUGGGGCUCCAACUCAUGAACUGUGAGAUCAUGACCCGAGCUGAAGUCAGACGCUGAGCCGACUGAGCCACCCAGGAGCCCUGAUACAUCCUCCAUUUUGAAAUGCUUACUACGUCCCCCCCCCUCCCCCAAUCAUCAUGCACCUUUUUUGGGAAUGAGAGUAUUAAUAUGCUGCUGCAGACCCUUCCUGCAUGAGAGCAGCCACCACUGAGUCUGUGCAGGCCCUCAAAAGUGCAGCAGGAAGUCUUCAUUAGGCUGCCCCCCAGGAGCUCUCCCUGCUGUCUUCCACGGGAAAUGUACACAGGACGUGUGUGCACUGGAAGAAGUGACCGCUGCUGGGCAGACUGCACUUCUGGGGUAAGGUUGUGUUUGGAGCUCUCUAGGCUGCUUCUUAAGGAGAGAAGGUGGCAGGACAGCAAAAUGAACCCAGAUGUCUUUUUUAAGCCAAACAGAAACAAGCACAAGGUGGUGAGCCAGAGCCUACCAUCACUGGCAAAACCUCAACUGCUUAUCCCAGAGCUGUUUUUUUUUUUUUUUAAUUUUUUUAACGUUUUAUUUAUUUUUGAGACAGGGAGAGACAGAGCAUGAAUGGGGGAGGGUCAGAGAGAGGGAGACACAGAAUCUGAAACGGGGUCCAGGCUCUGACCAGUCAGCACAGAGCCCGACGCGGGGCUCGAUCUCAUGGACCGUGAGAUCGUGAUCUGAGCCAAAGUCGGCUGCUCAACCAACGGAGCCACCCAGGCGCCCCAAAGAGCUGUUUUUUUAAAGGAGGCUUCACACCGGGGACAGAGCCUGUCUCGGAGCCCACCUCAUCACCCUGAGAUAACACCUCAGCUGAGACAAGAGUCACUUAACCCAUUGAACCACCCAGAUGCCCCUGUCCUGAAACACAAGUGGUAAUGUCCCUCUGCCUGUCUCCAUGAACCAACAGCUUCCUUCUUCCCUCAUACUCUCAAGAGAUCUUUACUUUUGCCUUUUAUAUCAGUAAAGCCCUUUAUUUCAUGUUAUAAUCUUUAUCUAUUAGGAGUUUAACACGUCUUUUCCAAACUGUGCUGGGAAUUGUUAUCAUUUUGUUGGUAUUGUGGUCACAGAGGUGUGUAGGUUUUGAGUUGGCUGCCAAAACACUAUUUUCCACUAUAAACCCUAUUAUUUCUGUGGA